rnacentral:rRNA from 1 species
GACGAACGCUGGCGGCGUGCCUAAUACAUGCAAGUAGAACGCUGAAGAGAGGAGCUUGCUCUUCUUGGAUGAGUUGCGAACGGGUGAGUAACGCGUAGGUAACCUGCCUUGUAGCGGGGGAUAACUAUUGGAAACGAUAGCUAAUACCGCAUAACAAUGGAUGACACAUGUCAUUUAUUUGAAAGGGGCAAUUGCUCCACUACAAGAUGGACCUGCGUUGUAUUAGCUAGUAGGUGAGGUAAUGGCUCACCUAGGCGACGAUACAUAGCCGACCUGAGAGGGUGAUCGGCCACACUGGGACUGAGACACGGCCCAGACUCCUACGGGAGGCAGCAGUAGGGAAUCUUCGGCAAUGGGGGCAACCCUGACCGAGCAACGCCGCGUGAGUGAAGAAGGUUUUCGGAUCGUAAAGCUCUGUUGUAAGUCAAGAACGGGUGUGAGAGUGGAAAGUUCACACUGUGACGGUAGCUUAGCAGAAAGGGACGGCUAACUACGUG